rnacentral:misc_RNA from 1 species
AAGACUAUAGACCUGCGGAGUACCUGCGGAGGGAUCAUUACCGAGUUAUACAACUCCCAAACCCACUGUGAACCUUACCUCAGUUGCCUCGGCGGGACCGCCCCGGCCGCCGCGCAAGCGGCGCCGGACUCCAAGGCGCCCGCCGCAGGGACCCGAAACUCUUUUGCAUUACGCCCAACGGCGGGAAUUUUUUCUCUGAGUGCAUAAGCAAAACAAAUGAAUCAAAACUUUCAGCAAUGG